UACGUAGGGUGCGAGCGUUAAUCGGAAUUACUGGGCGUAAAGCGUGCGCAGGCGGUUUUGUAAGCCAGGUGUGAAAUCCCCGGGCUCACCUGGGAAUGGCAUUUGGGACUGCAAGGCUGGAGUGCGGCAGAGGAGACUGGAAUUCCUGGUGGUAGCAGUGAAAUGCGUAGAUAUCAAGGAGGAACACCGAUGGCGGAAGGCA
rnacentral:rRNA from 1 species